rnacentral:lncRNA from 1 species
AACGCGAAACCCACAAAAUAAACCCACCUGGAACGCAGCCAGGCAUCCGCGGUGAGCCAGGAGGACAUGCGAGGACAGGAGGAAAGAGAACGGCAGAAAGAAGGGUGCGGCAAGGCGGUUGUCAAGUUGAGGACGGCCGCGGAAAACAAACCAGGGUGGCUGCCUAGCUGCGGCCGGGCUGACACGAAGGCUGUCUGGCUGCUGUAAAUGGGUAAGAUGGUACUGGAAGUAUGCACUGGCGCCGGUCAGGCAUGGUGAGUAGUGGCGCCGCUGCAUGGGUCUUGUCAUGGUACUUGUCCACCAGCAGACGCAGCAGCGCCCGGUUUGGGCCCCUGCCUGACCUGAAUUGCGAAGUAAGUGAGUGAGUGGGUGAAGGUGAGUGGGUGAGUGAAGGUGGGUGAGUGAGUGCGUUGCUGAGCGAGUGGCCGGGUGAGUGAGUGGCUGAGUGAGCCAAGGACCAGAGCCCCCGCCUGACCCAGGCGGUACCGAAGGGGCGUGGCCACAAAAUCCACCUUGAACCUAAUUGCUGCGAGCGUUGCCUCGUCCUUGCAAACGCUUCGCAGCGACACCUUACGGGUGCUAGUUUUCUGAACCAUUAUGAAGCGUUAGGGGUGUGGGAGCCGGCCCACACCCCUAACACGGGCAAGGUUGGGCGGACUUCAGAAUUGUUUGGCCUGUGCUACGGCUACAAGGGUGCGAAAGGCGAAAGUUUGAAGUUGGCAACUCUUCCUUUGUGGAAUCCGCGUGACAGGGCUGCUUUCCUUGCGACCUCGCGACCUCGCGAAAGUCAAGAUGUCCAUGGACUCGCGAGGUCGCUUCUCGCUCGCCGAGUUUCAACGUGCUUGAAAAAAGCAACAAGCACUGUCCGCUGAUACUCAAGAUUGGCAUUACAUGGGAUGCAGAUUACAAGUGAAGCGACAGCCGGCGCGACAGGCCAGAGGUCUGCCGACAUCCCUAUCAAACGCAAGCACCACUCAUUUUCUCUCGUCCGCAGACGGUGGCUGGCGUCAGAGACGCGCAAUGCCUUGGCCCGAAGGCCCACGUCUGGAAACGUCUGUGCCGAGGCACCACAAGGGAAAC